GAACUACAGAAAAAGUUAGACGAAAGCAACAAAAGUUUAGAAGAAAACAAAAAAAAUUUAGAAGUUAGCAAUCAGUUUUCAGCUUCGUUAAAAGUGAAAGUAGAAGAACUUGAAAAGAAGAUUGCGACGUCAACUCCAACUGUAGAAA
rnacentral:lncRNA from 1 species